GGUUCAGUUUGCGCCACGAAUACCCUCGUCGACUUUGACGAUCGAUUCUUUUUCUUCGGUGAAGCCGAGCAGGAAAAGAGUCUCGCGAGAUCGAAGACCUGCCGCCGAUCCAAGCAUCGGAAUAGCAGGCUGGCAAACUUCCCGUGGGAUUGCAGCUCCCAAGACAUGUCUGCGACAUCCGAAUCCUUCUGCCAUAGCAAUCGUGGCCUUUAUCUACAUCCAGGUGCGUCUUUUCAAUGCGCAGUCUGAGUAUGCAGAGAGCUUGGCUGCUGUUAAACAAACAUAUAUAAAGAUGAAGAAUCUGCUCAACUGAAGACCCUACUUCAAGAUCUUAAGAGUAUGUUUUUCAUUAAUUUUUUUGUUUGUUAUCAUCUAAGAGGAGUUUCUAUUAAUUUAUGUGCAGUGAAUUUGAUAAUGCUACACUAUUUGUUUUGUGCUUAGAAUUUGCAUGAACCAUAAACCAGAAGUUUGAACAAUAGUUAAUA